CUCUCUCUCUCUCUCUCUCUCUCUCUCUUUUUUCUAUGGUUACCAACAUAUGCACAUAAUAACAGACACGCUUGUAGGCAAAAUGUCAUAAAAUAUUAAUAUCGAAUUUUACUCAGUUUCUCAAAAGGUUUAUAAAUGUUCGUCUUAUUUAUUAUAAGAAGGAUAGAGGUAUAAUAACCUUUGUCAUAGUAACUCUUAGCUAACAACAUUUAGCACAUUAUUCAUUUAAACAGUAACGAAAACAUACUUUUAAUGAUAAAUAACAGUCACUGCUUUCCAUAAUAUUUAGCAGAAGCAGAAUAAUUUUAAUUACGUUAAUUUGACUUAGACGACUGAUUUUGAAAUCAGUCUGAUUGCAAGCAAAUUAAUAUUUAUAAUCAAACAUAUCAACGUUUAUCGAUUUAGAAAAUUUUUAGAUAGCACAAACGGUUGAAACUUAUUAUCAAAAAAAUAAAGGUUAUUGAAAAUGUUUCAUUUGCUCAUAUUGGUAUACGUUAAGAGGCAAUAACGUAGAACUGUUCGAUAAAUCGUGAUUGCAAUCUUUUGCAAUAUUAAUCACAAUUUAUAAUAUUUUAUUAAAAUUCUAAUGAAGUUCAACCCUGAAAAAUUCGUUUUCCUAAAUUACAAAAAAGAUUUCUGCUCAUAAUUCACGUAAAAACAUGCGUAGAUUUUACAGCUAAGUACGCAAAAUGGAAAACGGAGGUGGCCCAGCUUGCCUCAUCAUCAUGGCAAAACUACUCAGUCCUUCUUCGUUAGUACUUUGACCAUUUUGGUUAUUUUGUGAGCUAUUUAAAAUUUUAUUUCUACUACUGUUAUGACUCUGUAAAUGCUUUUUCAAAUGGUCUUUUCUGUAGAAGGCUUUACCACACUCUGUGCAAAUUUGAUUUUUGCUUCCCGAAUGUAUAAUCAUGUGGCGUGCAAGAUGCUCGUUACGUUUAAACGCUUUACAGCACAUAUUGCAUUGAUAAGGUCUGUCUUUAUUAUGGCCUUGUUUAUGUCGAUCAAGAUGUUCUUUUCGCUUCAAGCUUGCACCACAGAUAUCACAGAUAUGAGGCCGCUGCCGGUGAUCCUCCAGAUGUUCAUGCAAUGUUUCACGAUCUUCAAAUCUAUAUGCGCAUUCUGGACAAUGAUACACCAGCAUACCUUUGAUAAAAUUGUAAAUAACAAUAAUAACCUUACUGAUGAACAUAGAAUAUUCUAUAUAUCUUAAAAAUAUUUGUUAAUUACAUAUUUAAUGAUUUAUGCUAAUUCUCACCAUUGAUGUGCUGUGGUUCUACUUCAAAUUCAAGCUUUGGCCGAACUUCUUGACAAUUGUGUGAAGAAUUAUUGCUAUUAUCCUCGUAUUUUGUUACAUAUGGUAAACCUAAUGUACUGGAACAACGUGCUAAAUAUUCAGAAGUAAGUCUGAAAUCUAUUUGCAAAGGAUCUGUCAUUGUAGCCGCAUCUACUUUUUGAAUUGUUUGUGUGCUUGAAGAUUGAUGCGAAAUUUGAGGACACGUCUCCUUAUUUCCACAAUUAUUUUCAUUUCUAUUUUCAUCCGUUUGUUGCACAUGCUGUGGCGGAUGUGUAGGAUAAGUAUAUCCUGUCAUAUUUGGUUGCGGAUGGUCGUGUAUUUCAGAUGGAUAUUUCACAUUAUGUGGAUUAUAAGCCAUGUUUCAAAAAAUGACACUAAUAUAACCACCCUCUAACAUUUGUGCCUAUAAAAUUUCAUAUGAUAUUAAUGAAUACAAAUUUUUUAAAACAGAGAUAGGCAAAGGAUUUGACAUAUAAAUAUUUACCUUCUAAUAGUGCUUUUUACAACACUGGCACAUUAUGGGUUGUUAUUUCUUCAUAUUAAAUCAGACUAUUAUUACCACAUUAUUAAUUAAUUUAAACAUCUAUAGUUCACACAAAAAGCUUCAAAGAACUCAUUUAAUACAGACAUGACGUCUGUUAAAAAACAUUAAUAUUCUUUCAUAGGUUUCCGCUUGUACAUUGAUUUCCUUUUAGGAUACAGUAUCAUUGAAUAAGAGUCUGCAAGACAAAUUAUAUUACUUAUAUUACUUUAUUCUAUAUUUUACUUUUUUUAUGAUCUAAUCCUUUCUCAAAGAGAAUAAUUACAAGAUUAUUUAAAAAAAUUAAAAAUAUGAGUAUAUUGCAAACAUAUAUGCAUAUAAAAAGAAAAAUAUUGUAUUAGUUCGACGGAAUGACACAGCACCUAUCAUGAUUCUUUCAACGUAAGUAAUAUCGUCGUUGAAAUUAUGUCGAGAGAAGACAAUUUUCUUACCUUAUAAAAAUUUUAUAUACAAAUUAAUGCACGAUUAAUGCAUCCUACGAUCUAUAAAAAAUAUUUCUGAUUUUAAUUUUUGAUGAUUGUGAAAGCAAACAAUAUAUUUUUCUCGUAACGUUUCGUUAACGCGUUACCACGGUAAGGAACGAAAAAAUCUGAUUGACCAGGUCAGGACAGGUGUUACUCUCCGUCCCUUUCUCUCUUUCUUUCUCUCUCUUUCUCUCUCUCUCUCUCUCUCUCUCUCUCUCUCUCUCUCUUUCUCACUCACACUACCCCCCUCCACUUCACCCUUUUUCAUAUUCUUUCUCUUUCUUUCUUCACUUCUAAUUUCUACCUAUGGGAGAACGAAGGGUCGAGAGUUUUCUGUCGACGAAUUUUGGAAAAUGUAUUUUCGAUACGCUUACACGAUGAUCGUACGACAAUCGUACUAUCGAAGAUACUUACCAUUGAAUGGUGUCGUUCAUGUAGAAAACAGUAUACGCUAGCUGCUAUUUGUUUGUAUCCAGCCCGGCCAUCUUUAUGUAUCAGCUGCUUUGCGAUCUGUUCGUACUCUCUCUCUCUCUUCCUCUCUCUCUCUCUCUCUCUCUCUCUCACUCACUCGCUCUUUCUCUCCCUCUUUGUCUGCUAUUCGCGUUUGUAGAUUUACCUGUUUGUCCUUAUAAAAGAAAUUCGAUAAAUCUUGUAAUAUAUAUUACCGUUUAAUAUGAUCAACUAUCAUCGUAUCAACUAUCGAUUGAUAUGUGAAAUGUAAAUAUUUACAUUAAUUCGUCUAAAUUUAAAAACGUUCCUAAAGAAACAUAUGUAACGCGUCGACAGAAAAUGAAAGAAUUUGAUCGUAUUCAAAACCGGCGGCGAUGGUGGCGAUUACAGUGGCGACGUUGGUGGCAAGAAUUUGACUGAACAAAUACUGUGGUUUUCUCAAGCACUAGCUAUAGUGGCAUAGCGAUUUUUGAUAAGCUUAUUAAAAGAAUCUUUGAAGUCCUUCAUUUCUAACAAUUAAAUCGUUAUUAUGAUUAAUUAUUAUUAUAAACGACAGGUACGGACAAAAUAUGAACUACAAGCGCAAUAGGGAAACAUUGUCCCCACUAUGCGCCUAUUGCAUCGGUAUAUAAGCUUGUUAGGUUAUAUCCCUAUCACGCUUAAUUUAACAAUUGGGUUAGUUAGUGACAAAAAUUUUUGUAUGCAGUAAAAAUAAUAGUAUAUCUGAUAAAAACGAAAAAUGAAUAUAUGUCAAAUUAUACUUUUUUGAAGAUAGAUUAAUUAUACAAAUUUUAUAGUUUUUGUUUCUAGUUAAAUUUAUAUAGAUAGUUAAAAUGUAUUUAAGUAACCAUUGACUCGAUAUCAUUUGUGAUGAAAUGUAAAACAUAUAAAAUAUAAUAUACAUUAUACCAAAAGUAAUAUCGAGUAUCCAUGUCUCAUCAAAUGGAGAUUAAUGCAUAUGAAAAUCCACGGGCUAACGGGUAACUUUACUCUUUUAUUUUACCGCUAUUAUUAUUCAAAAAUAAAAACAAGAUCAAAGCAGAAUCUAAGUCUUUAAUAAUGGAGAAAAGAAAUUUAUUUUUUUUUUUAUUAAGACCUUAUACAUAACUAAAUAGUUGCUAAUAAUUAUCUACAUAUAUAAUCAAUAAGAGUAAUAAAGAAAUUCGAAUUUUUUAGUGUAUUUCUCUAAAAAAUUAUUUUAGGAUUCUACUAUACUUAAUCUGUUUAUCUAUCGAAAUAUAAUCGGUAAUGUAAAAUGUAAAUACUUUAAUGUUUAUUUAGAAUUAGGAAGAAAAGAUUUUGAAAACGCAUUGAAAUAUGCAGCCAUUCACUAGGUAGUACUUGUGUUACGUAUCCAGAUUAUGGAUUACAAUAACUCGCAAGCAGUACCAACUCAGAUCUCACCGCAUAGAGAUUAUUGCUUCUAGAGACCUAUAGGCUCAUGAUGAUUUUACUGUAAAAUUCGAAUUCUGGGGUGAAAUUAUGUCCCAGCGAGAAUUUAUGUCCCAAUGGUAACUGAAAGAAAAUCAAUCCCCGCUUACGGAUAGCCAUAAUAUUGAAAAUGUUAUAACAGAAAUAUGUAAAUGAAAUAACAGGAUCAUCGUAAUAUUGGAAGCUUCGACCAUCUUGAGCACGAUUGUUCUUUUUUUCAGAAUUUUAAACAAUAAAAAGAACUCCACAGUAAGACUAUUAAUCACUUCCGCGAAUAUCCACGCCUGUGCCCACUGACGUGCACGCAAGUGUUCCUCUUAUCCUAUUCAUACGGAAAA